AGGACGAACGCUGGCGGCGCGCUUAACACAUGCAAGUCGAGCGAGAACCGGGGCUUCGGCCCUGGGGACAGCGGCGAACGGGUGAGUAACACGUGGGUAAUCAACCCUCGGCACCGGGAUAGCCCGAGGAAACUCGGAUUAAUACCGGAUAGCCCCUCCGACUCUCGAGUCGGUCGGGAAAGGUAGCUUAGGCCUCUGGCCGGGGACGAGCCCGCGGCGGAUUAGCUUGUUGGUGGGGUAAUGGCCUACCAAGGCGACGAUCCGUAGCUGGUCUGAGAGGACGAUCAGCCACACUGGGACUGAGACACGGCCCAGACUCCUACGGGAGGCAGCAGUGGGGAAUCUUGCGCAAUGGGCGAAAGCCUGACGCAGCGACGCCGCGUGCGGGAAGAAGGCCUUCGGGUUGUAAACCGCUUUCAGGAGGGACGAAGCCACUCGGGUUAAUAGCCCAGAGGGUGACGGUACCUCCAGAAGAAGCCCGGCUAACUACGUGCCAGCAGCCGC
rnacentral:rRNA from 1 species